rnacentral:rRNA from 1 species
AUUGAACGCUGGCGGCAGGCCUAACACAUGCAAGUCGAACGAGUGGCGGACGGGUGAGUAAUGUCUGGGAAACUGCCCGAUGGAGGGGGAUAACUCCUGGAAACGGUAGCUAAUACCGCAUACCAUCGGAUGUGCCCAGAUGGGAUUAGCUUGUAGGUGAGGUAACGGCUCACCUAGUUGACGAUCACUAGCGGGUCUGAGAGGAUGACCAGACAAGCUGGAGAUGAGGCACGGUCCCGACUCCUACGGGAGGCAGCAGUGGGGAUUAUUGCACAAUUGGCGCAAGCCUGAUGCAGCCCUGCCGCGUGGAUGAAGAAGGCCUUCGGGUUGUAUAGUACUUUCAGCGGGGGACCGUUACCCACAGAAGAAGCACAGGCUAACUCCGGGCCAGCCGCCGCGGUGAUAC